GAGGAAUUUUGCGCAAUGGCCGCAAGGCUGACGCAGCAACGCCGCGUGGGUGAUGAAGGCCUUCGGGUCGUAAGGCCCUGUCAGGUGGGAAGAAAGGCCUUAAGGAGAAAGACUUGAGGUUUGACGGUACCACCAGAGGAAGCACCGGCUAACUCCGUGCCAGCAGCCGCGGUAAUACGGAGGGUGCGAGCGUUAUUCGGAAUUACUGGGCGUAAAGCGCGUGUAGGCGGGGGGACAAGUCUGAUGUGAAAGCCCUGGGCUUAACCUGGGAAGCGCAUUGGAAACUGUUUUUCUUGAGUACUGGAGAGGAAGGGGGAAUUCCCGGUGUAGAGGUGAAAUUCGUAGAGAUCGGGAGGAAUACCAGUGGCGUAGGCGCCCUUCUGGACGGUAACUGACGCUGAGACGCGAAAGCGUGGGGAGCAAACAG
rnacentral:rRNA from 1 species